AAUCCGCGUCUCUGUCAUCACUGUGCAUCACCGUCUAGGUAAGAGAGAGAAGACGUGUAAAUCAGGGACGCACAGAGGAAGAAGAGCGCCACCAUUCGCCACUGUCGCUGCUGGAGGCUGCGCCGCCUCGCCUCUGGCUGCCAGGAAAUAAUGCUAUUGCUGCAGGAGGUCGGCAUUGGAGCUGCUGCUCCAUGCCAUCGUUCUUCUUCAUGACAAUAAGUUUCUUUCACUCUGAAGCUCUUGCUAUUAUUGUUCUGGUAAUUGUUGUUGAGGAUUUUAAGGUAUGGGUGUCGUAGUGUUAAUUUAUUGGGAUUGCAUGUGGUGGAAGUUGUCGGAGCUGUUACCGGGCCGGUUCGAAGUGGCUGCUACUUUGCUCUUUUAUUGCAGGUCAAAUUGAUAUAACCGCAAAUGGUGAAUGUUGUUGUUGCUACUGCGGCUUGAUAGAAAAGGGGUUUAUCGCCUUUUAAUUGCUGUGAGCUUGGUCAGACGAGGAGAAAUUUACAUGGAACAAGACUCACGAUACCAUUAUCAGGAGAUCUUCGACCAUCGGAUGCUAGGCAGCUUCAGCAGAUGGUGGAGGACGUACGUGAAAGGCGUAACCACCUCACUAUUCGGCUUCGUCCUGACAUUAAGAAGUAAAUGUAUGUCCAUUGAGAGAUUAAUAAGGGGUACAGGCAUCGCCGUCUCA